UACGUAGGGUCCGAGCGUUGUCCGGAAUUAUUGGGCGUAAAGGGCUCGUAGGCGGUCUGUCGCGUCGGUAGUAUAAACUUACAGCUUAACUGUGAGCGUGCUUCCGAUACGGGCAGACUUGAGGUAUUCAGGGGAGAACGGAAUUCCUGGUGUAGCGGUGAAAUGCGCAGAUAUCAGGAGGAACACCGGUGGCGAAGGCGGUUCUCUGGGAAUAGUCCUGACGCUGGAGGAGCGAAAGUGUGGGGAGCGAACAGGAUUAGACUACCCGUACGU
rnacentral:rRNA from 1 species